UACGGGGGGAGCAAGCGUUGUUCGGAUUUACUGGGCGUAAAGGGCGCGUAGGCGGCCACCGCAAGUCGACUGUGAAAUCUCCGGGCUUAACCCGGAAAGGUCAGCCGAUACUGCGGGGCUAGCGUGCAGAAGGGGCAACUGGAAUUCUUGGUGUAGCGGUGAAAUGCGUAGAUAUCAAGAGGAACACCUGAGGUGAAGACGGGUUGCUGGGCCAACACUGACGCUGAUGCGCGAAAGCCAGGGGAGCAAACGGG
rnacentral:rRNA from 1 species